rnacentral:lncRNA from 1 species
CCGAAAGCAUUGCCAUGAUUCCUCUCAUGGCCUCUCAAGGCUUGGGAGCACCAUCCAUUCACAAUAAUCUCUACCUUAGUGCCCCAAGCCUUGGCAAAUCCCGCACAAUCCACCUGUAUGACCCUCCUGCCUUUCUUGUCUCUUGGCACCCAUCAAUGUCCUGUUGUCCUCCAGUACUUCAUGCUUACACAUCUGAUGCAUCCGUAUCUACUGCC